UACGUAGGGACCAAGCGUUGUUCGGAUUUACUGGGCGUAAAGGGCGCGUAGGCGGCAUGACAAGUCACUUGUGAAAUCUCCGGGCUUAACUCGGAACGGUCAAGUGAUACUGUCGCGCUAGAGUGCGGAAGGGGCAAUCAGAAUCCUUGGUGUAGCGGUGAAAUGCGUAGAUAUCAAGAGGAAUACCUGAGGUGAAGACGGGUUGCUAGGCCGACACUGACGCUGAAGCGCGAAAGCCAGGGGAGCAAACGGG
rnacentral:rRNA from 1 species